rnacentral:tRNA from 1 species
GGAGGAGUGGCAGAGUGGUCGAUUGCGGCGGUCUUGAAAACCGUUGUGCCCUCGCGGGUACCGUGGGUUCAAAUCCUACCUCCUCCG